rnacentral:rRNA from 1 species
GACGAACGCUGGCGGCGUGCUUAACACAUGCAAGUCGAGCGGUAAGGCCCUUUCGGGGUACGACGAGCGGCGAACGGGUGAGUAACACGUGGGUGACCUGCCCUUACGCUCUGGGAUAAGCCUGGGAAACGUGGGUCGUAAUACCGGAUAUGACUCCAUGACGCAUGUUGUGGGGUGGAAAGCCUUGUGCGGCUAGGGAUGGGCCCGCGGCCUAUCAGCUUGUUGGUGGGGUGAUGGCCUACCAAGGCGACGACGGGUAGCCGGCCUGAGAGGGCGACCGGCCACACUGGGACUGAGACACGGCCCAGACUCCUACGGGAGGCAGCAGUGGGGAAUCUUGCGCAAUGGGCAAAAGCCUGACGCAGCGACGCCGCGUGGGGA